UCCCCUACGGGGCGCAGCAGUAGGGAAUCUUCCACAAUGGGGGAAACCCUGAUGCAGCGACGCCGCGUGAGUGAAGAAGUAUUUCGGUAUGUAAAGCUCUAUCAGCAGGGAAGAAAAAAGACGGUACCUGACUAAGAAGCUCCGGCUAACUACGUGCCAGCAGCCGCGGUAAUACGUAGGGGGCAAGCGUUAUCCGGAUUUACUGGGUGUAAAGGGAGCGUAGACGGCAAUACAAGUCGGAAGUGAAAUACCCGGGCUCAACCUGGGAAUUGCUUUGGAAACUGUAUGGCUGGAGUGCUGGAGAG
rnacentral:rRNA from 1 species